UAGGGAAUCUUCGGCAAUGGGGGGAACCCUGACCGAGCAACGCCGGGUGAGUGAAGAAGGUUUUCGGAUCGUAAAGCUCUGUUGUUAAGGAAGAACGAGUGUGAGAAUGGAAAGUUCAUGCUGUGACGGUACUUAACCAGAAAGGGACGGCUAACUACGUGCCAGCAGCCGCGGUAAUACGUAGGUCCCGAGCGUUGUCCGGAUUUAUUGGGCGUAAAGCGAGCGCAGGCGGUUAGAAAAGUCUGAAGUGAAAGGCAGUGGCUCAACCAUUGUAGGCUUUGGAAACUGUUUAACUUGAGUGCAGAAGGGGAGAGUGGAAUUCCAUGUGUAGCGGUGAAAUGCGUAGAUAUAUGGAGGAACACCGGUGGCGAAAGCGGCUCUCUGGUCUGUAACUGACGCUGAGGCUCGAAAGCGUGGGGAGCGAACAGG
rnacentral:rRNA from 1 species